GUGGAUUAGAUACCCGGGUAGUCCACGCUGUAAACGAUGACGACUAGGUGUGGGGGGGUUCAGUCCUUUCCGUGCCGCAGCUAACGCAUUAAGUCGUCCGCCUGGGGAGUACGGCCGCAAGGUUGAAACUCAAAGGAAUUGACGGGGGCCCGCACAAGCGGUGGAGCAUGUGGUUCAAUUCGAUGCAGAGCGAAGAACCUUACCUGGGCUUGACAUGGCGGAAGUAGAAACCCGAAAGGGGGACGACUCGUUGAGUCGAGAGCCGCCACAGGUGGUGCAUGGUCGUCGACAGCU
rnacentral:rRNA from 1 species